GGAUGAUCUCAAUCUUUUGACCUCGUGAUCCGCCCUUCUUGGCCUCCCAAAGUGCUGGGAUUACAGGCACGAGCCACUGCACCUGGCCCAAGAAACUCUUCUGUAAGGUGCUGAGGUUCUGCUCGGUGGAGACAAAAGCCAAUAUAAUUUGGGUUCUUAUUGUUAGUCUGAUUCUGUUUGUAUUCACAGGUUGAGGAGGCCUGGGGAAACUCAGCUUACAGCCAUAUUUGUACUAGAAGAUUUUCGGUACAACUGGAGGGCAACAAUAUAUAUCAUCAUGCUGCUGAACAUGCAGGUGUCUUAGAAUUUGGGGUCCCCAACACCCUGGCCAUGGACUGGUACUGGUCCGUGGCCUGUUAGGAACUGAGCCACACAGGAAUAGGUGAGCAGCAGGUGAGUGAGCAAAACUUCAUCUGUAUUUACAGCCACUCCGCA
rnacentral:lncRNA from 1 species